rnacentral:rRNA from 1 species
UACCUGGUUGAUCCUGCCAGUAGUCAUAUGCUUGUCUCAAAGAUUAAGCCAUGCAGGUCUGAGUCCAUGCCGCAGUAAGGUGAGACCGCGAAUGGCUCAUUAUAUCAGUUAUGGUUCCUUAGAUCCUCGGUUACACUUGGAUAACCCUGGUAAUUCUAGAGCUAAUACAUGCAAGACAACACCGACCUUCGGGAAGGUGUGUUUUUAUUAGACCAAAACCAAUCGUUACCUUCGGGUGACGACAACUUGGUGACUCUGAAUAACUUUGGGCGGAUCGCAUGGUCAUCGUACCGGCGACGCAUCUUUCAAAUGUCUGCCUUAUCAACUGGUUGGUUGGUUAAAUGCCAACCAAGGUUGUAACGGGUGACGGAGAAUCAGGGUUCGGUGCCGGAGAGGGAGCCUGAGAAACGGCUACCACAUCCAAGGAAGGCAGCAGGCACGCAAAUUACCCACUCCCGGCACGGGGAGGUAGUGACGAAAAAUAACAAUACGAGACUCAUCCGAGGCUUCGUAAUUGGAAUGAGUACACUUCAAAUCCUUUAACGAGGAUCUAUUGGAGGGCAAGUCUUGGUGCCAGCAGCCGCGGUAAUUCCAGCUCCAAUAGCGUAUAUUAAAGUUGCUGCGGUUAAAAAGCUCGUAGUUGGAUCUCAGUCUCGAUCGGAUGGUCCACCUCACGGUGGUACUGCUCGAAUCGGACAUCUUGCCGCCUUUCCUGGCAUGCUCUUGAUUGAGUGUGGCGGGAGAGUGGUACGUUUACUUUGAAAAAAUUAGAGUGCUCAAAGCAGGCAUUCCGCCUGAAUAGUCGUGCAUGGAAUGAUGGAAUAGGGCCUCGGUUCUAUUUUGUUGGUUUCCGGAACUCGAGGUAAUGAUUAAUAGGGACGGACGGGGGCAUUCGUAUUGCGACGUUAGAGGUGAAAUUCUUAGAUCGUCGCAAGACGAACUACUGCGAAAGCAUUUGCCAAGAAUGUUUUCAUUAAUCAAGAACGAAAGUCAGAGGUUCGAAGGCGAUCAGAUACCGCCCUAGUUCUAACCAUAAACGAUGCCAACUGGCGAUCCGCUGGUGUUAAUUCAAAUGACCCAGCGGGCAGCUUCCGGGAAACCAAAGUUUUUGAGUUCCGGGGGAAGUAUGGUUGCAAAGCUGGAACUUAAAGGAAUUGACGGAAGGGCACCACCAGGAUUGGAGCCUGUGGCUUAAUUUGACUCAACACGGGAAACCUCACCGGGCCCGGACACCAGAAGGAUUGACAGAUUGAUAGCUCUUUCUUGAUUUGGUGGGUGGUGGUGCAUGGCCGUUCUUAGUUGGUGGAGUGAUUUGUCUGGUUAAUUCCGAUAACGAACGAGACCCUGGCCUACUUACUAGACUUCGGAUCCUUUUGUCCGUGCCGUCUUCUUAGAGGGACAACUGGCUACAUUAAAUAGCUACAUGAAAUGGGGCAAUAACAGGUCUGUGAUGCCCUUCGAUGUUCCGGGCUGCACACGCGCUACACUGAAGGGAUCAUCGUGCUUAUCCUAGCCUGAAAAGGCCGGGAAACCCGCUGAAUUCUCUUCGUGCUAGGGAUUGAGGCUUGCAAUUGUUUCUCAUGAACGAGGAAUUCCCAGUAAGUGCGAGUCAUAAGCUCGCGCUGAUUACGUCCCUGCCCUUUGUACACACCGCCCGUCGCUACUACCGAUUGAAUGAUUUAGUGAGGACCUCGGACUGGCUGCUAGUCUGGGGCAUUCGUGUCCUGCUGGUGGUCGGAAAGACGUCCAAACUGUAUCAUUUAGAGGAAGUAAAAGUCGUAACAAGGUUUCCGUAGGUGAACCUGCGGAAGGAUCA